rnacentral:rRNA from 1 species
UACGUAGGGUCCAAGCGUUAUCCGGAAUCACUGGGCGUAAAGCGUGCGUAGGUGGCGUGUUAAGUGUGAUGUUAAAUCGUGUGGCUCAACCUUAUCGAUGUGUCGCAUACUGGCAUGCUAGAGGGAAGCAGAGGCAAGUGGAAUUUGUAGUGUAGCAGUGAAAUGCGUAGAUAUUACAAGGAACACCAAUGGCGAAGGCAGCUUGCUGGGCUUCUUCUGACACUGAGGUACGAAAGCGUGGGGAGCGAACAGG